AACGAACGCUGGCGGCAUGCCUAACACAUGCAAGUCGAACGAGUCCUUCGGGUCUAGUGGCGCACGGGUGCGUAACGCGUGGGAAUCUGCCCUUGGGUUCGGGACAACAGUGGGAAACGACUGCUAAUACCGGAUGAUGCCUCCGGACCAAAGAUUUAUCGCCCAUGGAUGAGCCCGCGUCGGAUGAGCUAGUUGGUUGGGUAAAAGCCUACCAAGGCGACGAUCCGUAGCUGGUCUGAGAGGAUGAUCAGCCACACUGGGACUGAGACACGGCCCAGACUUCUACGGGAGGCAGCAGUGGGGAAUAUUGGACAAUGGGCGAAAGCCUGAUCCAGCAAUGCCGCGUGAGUGAUGAAGGCCUUAGGGUUGUAAAGCUCUUUUACCCGGGAUGAUAAUGACGGUACCGGGAGAAUAAGCCCCGGCUAACUCCGUGCCAGCCGCCGCGGUAA
rnacentral:rRNA from 1 species